rnacentral:rRNA from 1 species
GUAGGUGGCAAGCGUUGUCCGGAAUUAUUGGGCGUAAAGCGCGCGCAGGUGGUUCUUUAAGUCUGAUGUGAAAGCCCCCGGCUCAACCGGGGAGGGUCAUUGGAAACUGGGGAACUUGAGUGCAGGAGAGGAGAGUGGAAUUCCACGUGUAGCGGUGAAAUGCGUAGAUAUGUGGAGGAACACCAGUGGCGAAGGCGACUCUCUGGCCUGUAACUGACACUGAGGCGCGAAAGCGUGGGGAGCAAACAGGGAUUAGAUACCCUGGUAGUCCACGCCGUAAACGAUGAGUGCUAAGUGUUGGGGGGGUUUCCGCCCCCUCAGUGCUGCAGCUAACGCAUUAAGCACUCCGCCCUGGGAGUACGGUCGCAAGACUG